AUUGCUUUUCUUCCCCAAUAUGGUAUCAAAGCUAAAGCUCCGUUGGCUCUGAAAUUCACAAAAUUUGGUUCGAGUUUUUCUGCCAUGGCUACAGAUUCUUCGAAUCAAUUGCCACACAUUCUAGCAUCAUCAUCGACGAGCAAUUCCGCCAUUGUUGAUGGAUCUAGCCCCUAUUUUCUUCACCACUCAGAUAAUCCAGGUCUCAUAUUUGUUUCGCAACCUCUGACAGGAGACAAUUAUGAAUCCUGGAGUCGAGCAAUGGUGAUAGCCCUGUCUGUGAAGAAUAAAUCUGGUUUUAUUGAUGGAUCAAUUCCAAAGCCUAAAAAUUCUGACGAUCUCCUUAAUCCAUGGAUCUGCAAUAACAAUAUGGUAAUUUCCUGGAUCCUUAACUCUGUAUCCAAAGAAAUUUCUGCAAGUUUGAUAUAUUAUGAAUCUGCACAUGAGAUUUGGAUGGAUCUCAAGGAGCGUUACCAACAGAAAAAUGGUCCACGCAUUUUUCAGUUGAAACGCGAAUUAAUGAACCUCACAUAGGGACAAUUAUCUGUUAAUACCUACUUCACUAAGUUGAAGACUGUUUGGGAAGAACUUAGUAAUUACAGGCCUAUAUGAUCGUGUGGAAAAUGCACAUGUGAAGGAAAUAAGAAAUUGGCUAAACAUUAUCAAAUGGAGUACGUUAUGUCAUUUUUAAUGGGACUCCAUGAAUCAUUUGCUCAAAUCAGAGGGCAGCUGCGGUUGAUGGAUCCAAUUCCAUCUACUAACAAAGUGUUUGCUCUUGUGACUCAAGAAGAACAUCAAAGGAAAAUGAACUUGAACACAGAUGUGUUAGGCCUUGCUAGUUCAAUGGCCUUUUAUGCGAAGAAUGAAACCUGAAAGCCUGCCAUGGGACAAUCAAAUAAUAAACAUUAAAAAAAGGAUAUACCUAUUUGCACAUAUUGUGGAUAUUCUGGUCAUGCAGUGGAUAAAUGCUACAAGUUACAUGGUUUUCCCCCGGGGUAUAUGCCCAAACAUAGGUCUGAUUUUAACAAUCAAGCAGGGUCGAGUACUUAGACACGUGGUGCAAUUACCAACUUGGUUUCUGAUUAUGUAGCUGAUCAGACUUCAAGUGUCAAAACUUUUAUGCAGACAUUAAACCCUACACAAUGUCAACAUUUGUUGAACAUGCUAAACUCUCAUCUCACAACAACCACGUUGAAUACAGAUGUGGAGGAAAAAUGUGAUCACAUUUCAGGAUCUUCACAAGUUGAAGACGAUUGGCAAGGGUAAAAGAAUUGGAGAUUUAUAUGUGAUACAAGUGCAACCUCUUGCUCCAGUACCAAAUCCAUGUGAUCCUUCUGGAAAGAUUUGUAAUUCUGCUCAUUUGAGGAAUAAUAAUGUCCCUACUGAUAUUUGGUAGACUAGGCUACUUAUCAUUUAAAAGGUUGAAUUUGUUAAAGGACCAGUUACAAUUUGAUUGUAAUAAUAAGAAAGGUGGAGCAUUUACCCCCUGUUCUAUUUGUCCCUUAGCUAAGUAAAGGAGGCUUUCUUUUGUUUCUAAAAA